rnacentral:rRNA from 1 species
UGGGGAAUAUUGCACAAUGGGCGCAAGCCUGAUGCAGCCAUGCCGCGUGUAUGAAGAAGGCCUUCGGGUUGUAAAGUACUUUCAGCGGGGAGGAAGGUGUUGUGGUUAAUAACAGCAGCAAUUGACGUUACCCGCAGAAGAAGCACCGGCUAACUCCGUGCCAGCAGCCGCGGUAAUACGGAGGGUGCAAGCGUUAAUCGGAAUUACUGGGCGUAAAGCGCACGCAGGCGGUCUGUCAAGUCGGAUGUGAAAUCCCCGGGCUCAACCUGGGAACUGCAUUCGAAACUGGCAGGCUAGAGUCUUGUAGAGGGGGGUAGAAUUCCAGGUGUAGCGGUGAAAUGCGUAGAGAUCUGGAGGAAUACCGGUGGCGAAGGCGGCCCCCUGGACAAAGACUGACGCUCAGGUGCGAAAGCGUGGGGAGCAAACA